UGGACUUGGAGAGUUCAGUUAAGAGCCAGGACAAGGCUGCAGAUCUUUCCGGCUGGCGUCAUCGGAGGAGACGACCUCGCCCCUGCUGCGUCAGGAGGAGUCACAGUGACCUGAUUUCGUGCGCAUUCACAAAAACAGCUUUACUUCUCCUUUCUCAAGGAAAGUAGAAAAUGAUAUGAGUAUCCUUUUCCUGUCUGGCUUCAUCAAGAUUUAUACAGCACGAGACCAGAUACCUCAUGGUUUAGUGCCAUUCCCUACGGCUAAAAGACAUCAAAAGGAGCUGCAUAGUUCAGAGGAGGGGGACGCCCCCCCUCGCCUGAGUCCUGCCAGUGUCCCUGGGGACAGUCGGGGCAGCAGCCCGCUUGGUUAUGGCUCAGCCCUUCUGCAGCGUGAGGGCACACAGGGGCUCUGGACAUCGGGAGCCGUGGAGCAGCAGCCCUGGAGGUCCCUGAGGAGGCCUCGCCCGCCUCACGGACUGCCCCACAGAACAAGCCCCUCGUCUCCCAGUUACAACACAGUCACACCCAGCCCUGUGACAGGGAGAAGGGACUGCUGUGUGCCAGGUGACAACUGCCACCUCACCUGACUGACCCCAUACUGCUGUGUGGGCCAUCCAGGUGGGGCAACUGAGGGGCAGAUGGUCACCAUCCAGAUGAGUCAGAGACCCCCCCUUGGCCCCUGGAUGUGGAAAUCCCGUGCACCUUCCUAUGCACGACAGACGGCGUGUUGCAUUCUGGAGGAAGAUGCUAUGUGUAGAGACAAUUUGAAAGGAAAUUCAGAAGGUCGUGAUUUAAAACUAUGCAGAAAAUGACAUUCAGGAGCCCUUGGUGAAAGGACACUGGGCGGCAACUGGUCUCUGCUCCUGGGGGUCAGGCCUGGGCCGAUGACCCCCAGACCUGAGCUUGGCUUUCAGGGUUCAGACAGCUGCAGCAGGCGGGGGGCUGUGGUCCGCUCAGCAGUGUCCCUUUCAUUCUGUCUCCUACCCCAGGCAGCACGGGAGUUCUGACCUGAGCCUCGGGACGUGCUGCAGAGCGCGGUGAGGACUGUGGGUGCCACCGGGCUGUGCCGUCUCUGACCCCAAACCCUUCGGAGGCAGAGCAUCUGUACUGCUUGUUAUGUUGCCAGCACAGCACUGAGCAGACAGCUGGCAGCUGACAGAUGCCGAGCGACUGGGGAAGCAGGGUGCCCACCAGCCCGUGAUGGCUGUCCUGGCUACUGCCAGCCCAACCCCAUGUCACAGAAAUUCCACAGACAUCUGGCCAACUUGCAGCUCAUCCUCAACUGGACGUGAAGUGGGCACAGCCCAGGAGGACUCUUGGGUGAGGCUGGGCCCCCUGUAAACGGGCUGGGCACCCUGGAAGGUGGCUCUGGUUCCCAAGCCUCUAUUUUACACAGACCUUGAUAUAUUUGGACCACAUACAUGCAGUGUCAUUUUAAAAAGUAAAAAUCACUUGUACAUGCUUA